rnacentral:lncRNA from 1 species
UGAUUUGCACCUCAGAUAUGUGCAUCCCACUAAAAGCCAUUUUUUUCCAUGUUAUCUUGCAGCAGAUACUGCUCUAUGGAGGUGAAAAACGGAUAAAUUUUGCAGAUUCUCUCAUCAGGAGGAGGAUUCUCAGUGUCUUUCAGGAGCUUUCGGCACAUAAGAGGGAAGAGAUCCCAUCCAGGUGCAUGAUAAAGACUCAAUGUGGUCUUCUACUGUGGAAGGAACAAAUUAAAUACUGUGGACUCUAAAGAACAGGAAGUAGUUGGGAGUAUUGUGCAGCAAAGAUAUUUUGACGUUGGGAAGAGCUGAUAUCCUGAAACAGACAACUAUUCGAGAUGGCUAUGGAGUCUCUUCCUCUGGAGAUUUUUAAAAACAAGGUAAGCAGACAUCUCCCAGGAUUGCUAACGGUGUUUUUGUCCCUCCUCAGCGCUUUGUGGUGGACUUAGUUGACCUCUUGAGGUCAUCUCCUAGCAUUCUGUAUUUUCAAGUACAGUUUUAGAAAACUGUGUUAUUUUGUCCUUAUUUAUGCUAUGGGGCAAGUGUGCUCUGUGGUACGUUCUGUCUAGUGUAGAGCUUGUCCUCUCGUUAUCCAGACUGGGGAAACUGCUGAAGUCCUUGGCACCUCUUCUGCC